GACGAACGCUGGCGGCGUGCUUAACACAUGCAAGUCGAACGGGCCUUGUCCCCUUUUUUUUUGGGGGUGGGGUUAGUGGCGAACGGGUGAGUAACACGUGAGUAACCUGCCCCUCACUUCUGGAUAACCGCUUGAAAGGGUGGCUAAUACGGGGUGUUCUGGCCUGCUCGCAUGGGUGGGUUUGGAAAGAUUCGACCGGUUUUGGUUGUUUUGGUGGGGGAUGGGCUCGCGGCCUAUCAGCUUGUUGGUGGGGUGAUGGCCUGCCAAGGCGUUGACGGGUAGCCGGCCUGAGAGGGUGGGCGGUCACACUGGGACUGAGACACGGCCCAGACUCCUACGGGAGGCAGCAGUGGGGAAUAUUGCACAAUGGGCGCAAGCCUGAUGCAGCGACGCCGCGUGAGGGAUGGAGGCCUUCGGGUUGGGAACCUCUUUCGCCAGUGAAGAAGGUCCUGCUCUUUGUGGUGGGGUUGACGGUAGCUGGGUUAAUGAAGCGCCGGCUAACUACGUG
rnacentral:rRNA from 1 species